rnacentral:rRNA from 1 species
UUUAAAGAGAGUUUGAUCCUGGCUCAGGACGAACGCUGGCGGCGUGCCUAAUACAUGCAAGUCGAACGAACGGAGGAAGAGCUUGCUCUUCCAAAGUUAGUGGCGGACGGGUGAGUAACACGUGGGCAACCUGCCUGUAAGUUGGGGAUAACUCCGGGAAACCGGGGCUAAUACCGAAUGAUAAAGUKUGGCGCAUGCCACGCUUUUGAAAGAUGGUUUCGGCUAUCGCUUACAGAUGGGCCCGCGGUGCAUUAGCUAGUUGGUWGGGUAAUGGCCUACCAAGGCAACGAUGCAUAGCCGACCUGAGAGGGUGAUCGGCCACACUGGGAC